rnacentral:rRNA from 1 species
UACGUAGGGGGCAAGCGUUGUCCGGAAUCAUUGGGCGUAAAGAGCGUGUAGGCGGCCCGGUAAGUCUGCUGUGAAAGUCCAGGGCUCAACCCUGGGAUGCCGGUGGAUACUGUCGGGCUAGAGUGCGGAAGAGGCGAGUGGAAUUCCUGGUGUAGCGGUGAAAUGCGCAGAGUAUCAGGAGGAACACCAAUUGCGAAGGCAGCUCGCUGGGACGUUACUGACGCUGAGACGCGAAAGCGUGGGGAGCAAACAGG